UACGGGGGGGGCAAGCGUUGUUCGGAAUUACUGGGCGUAAAGGGCUCGUAGGCGGCCAACUAAGUCGGACGUGAAAUCCCCAGGCUCAACCUGGGAACUGCGUCCGAUACUGGAUGGCUUGAAUCCGGGAGAGGGAUGCAGAAUUCCAGGUGUAGCGGUGAAAUGCGUAGAUAUCUGGAGGAAUACCGGUGGCGAAGGCGGCAUCCUGGACCGGCAUUGACGCUGAGGAGCGAAAGCCAG
rnacentral:rRNA from 1 species